rnacentral:lncRNA from 1 species
GGCAGCAAUGAGGCAUGGAGAGAGGAGCAGGCCACCCAAAGAUUUACAGACAUUUAAAGUUUUAUUCAGACACAGCCGGGCAUGUUAAGUACUUUGGCCCGUUCUAUUAUGGCUUUUCCUUGUAACACGCUGCCUGAUGAAUACGAAGGUGUUUUCGGGGAUAAGAGCUGUCCCGCGGGAUCUGGCAUGAUGUAGAUUCUCCCGCGCAUUGUUUCCAGCGAGACAGGAGUCAUCCAUCUCUCCCAGGAUGAGCAGCGGUAAGCCUCAGCGCGGUCACCAGGUAAUGCUUUAACACCUGAGAUUGGCUGCUCUUCCUUCUAUUCAGCCUUUUUCUUCCAUUUCAUCAGCAGCAUGUUCUAAUUUCCCGUUUCCUCCACUCUCACUGUGUUCACGGAUUAGUCUGCUCCCUCCUGGCAGCCCCCUAAAGCAGCGUUUCUUUUUCCAUCACCACUCUGCUUCGUCUUCCCUCCUCUCUUAAAGCGUCUGAAAAUUGUGUUGCAUAUUUAUUCCUGCAGAAUUAGCAUCACAAACACUCUUGCCAGGCUCUUUGUUAUGCUUCAGGGGGAGGGAGAGUGAGGGGAAGUAGAUUACGCUCUUCGUUUCUCUGAGGCACACUCAAAGCGGGCUUUCUAGGCUUCCUCCUGCUUUUCAGCAGAGCUCGGGGCUUAUGGAGACGCACUCCAUCUACUUGAAGUAAAGACGGCUAUGACUUAAAAUAAUGUUGUUCCUCUUCCACUCCUGUUUAACACAUCUCUCUCACUCUCUCAGCCUCACUUUUUCUUUAAGUCUUAUUCUUCUUCUCGCGCUCAUCUGCAGCCUUAUCCCCGCGCUGACACUCGGUCCACUUUAUAUUUCAGUAAAGCUCCACGUUUGACUCAACAGUUUACAGACGGAUUGUUUAAAGUUGGUUUGAAACUUGUUGGUUGUGCUUAUAGUCAGGGGAGGGUGGUGAAGUCAGACAAAGAGUCAAGUGGAUUUAUAGAAAUAUGAGUUUAUUUACUGUUAUAAUAACUCACUCAUCUGCUGGUGAGCUGGGUAAAUUGAUGUGAAAGUUCACAUUUAGUGCAAAUAUUCCCUUGGACUCAUGCAUGAAGUGAGGAGGAUUUGAUGCUUGAAGGUUGAGGGAUCUGUGACCUCACAUGUUUCCUCUUUUACCACGUUGACCUGAAUAUGGACCUCUUUGUAGCCUACGGCAUUAAACCUAUGCAUGAGCAUUUAAUAGUAACAAUUUACUCUGUUUGUUCAGACAGACUUAAAAACUUUAAAUACUGAAUUAAAACUGUAACGAAUCUAACAUCAAAACGUCUAACUGUUGUCUAAUCUGGUGUCUGCAUACACACUGUAAUCAUGGACUUGAAGCUCUGCAGAGAUCAGACAGGAUCAUGACCCCUGGUGUUUUAGUUUCUAAGUGUAUUAACUUUUAUCUGAAUGUGUCAGUAGUUGUCAUGGUUACAACAGCUGUUAAAACACAAAAACAAUCCUUGCAAAUGCAUCCUGGUUUAAUUCUGAAGAAAAUAUCAUUUAUUCCAUAGCCAAUAUUGACAACAGCUAGUAGAGAGUCAGUUAUUGUUGUUUGCAUCUGAUGGUAUACAAUUUUAUGAUAAAAGAAAUAAUUUCAUGCAUUUGAUAAUAUAAUAACCAUACUUAUUUUACCCAGUUACCUAUUUAAAGUAUUUAUUUAAUUUAUUUUUUAAUUAAAUUCAGGAUUUCAUGACUGAUUUUUCUGUCAGAGCAAUAUACUUCGUUAUUCUACACAUGGUCACAGAAUUUGUAAUAAACACAAUCUGUAUCUGCUUAGUAUAUUUCUGUAAAGUGGAGCUACAGUCAUAGAUCAGUUAGGUGAUCUAGUUAGACUACGGUCCUCGUCCCACUCCCUGUCAGUAGUCAGUGAUAUGCUCCCCUUAAGCUAAUUACUACUGGACCAUCUCCUGGGUUGACUUGUAAUGCCACUGACCAAAAUAAUCACCAGACAAGUUAGCAAGAAGCUAACGUGCUGUAUGUUGAACAGUAACAUCACCAACAACUUUACAGCGCUGUACAUUUCAUAGUUAGGAUACAACAGCUCUGUCUUAAUUACAUCCCCUUUGUCUUCUGUUAAGGUUUUGUUUCACUGAGCAGCUUCCUUCAAAGCAUUUUUGCUGUUCAGUUUUGUUGUCAAAGCUUAAUAUGUGAUUUAAUGGGCAUGCUCAGAAGGUUUGGGCUGAUUUCAGGCAGAUAUUUGUGGUUGGGUUACUGUGUUAUCUGGGUACAUUUAGGGUUAUCUAGAGUUUUCCCUGUUUUUAUUGUGUGUUACUAAGCUUCAUAUGCUACGCUGUUGGCUUCUUUAGGUGUCUGCUGGGUUCUUACAUUUGAACCAUCAGUUUUAGCUGAUUUUUUCUUGGGUUUCUGUUUUUCUUUCUUUUUUUCUGCUUUGUUUCAUUUAUACACAUUAUCAAAGCAUGUUUUUUUUUAAGUGCUAUACUACCAGAGUUAUAAUUACUAUUAUUAAUUUGAAAAGAUAAUAAUAAACUGACUUUUUGAAUGACGUGUUAAAUCACUCACUGAUGAAGCAGCCUGCAGUGUCUGCAGAUGCUAUUUGUUUGUGAGUGCAGACAUUGACUGAUGCAAACAGUUGGAUCGUGUGUAAACUGAAGGGGCCUGAUAUAUCAAUUGGUCUUUCUCUGGCCAUACUAGCUGUAGAGAGAUGAAUAAAUAUAUCAAACUCUACAGUCUUUAAUUUAUUCUGUAUAAGGUCUUAAAACAUAGUCUGUGUUUUCUGGAGACUCUCUGUACAUGUGUUCACAAUGUUUGACAUGGCAGACUAAUGAACCCACUGGUCAGGCAUGCUCAUGUGGGUGUUUCUGACUGUUUCUGCAAUGCUGUGUGAACACAGAAAUAUUUAAAACUCUUCUGCUGUGGACAGGAUUUUAGUCUUUUUCUUUUUUAACCAUUGAGGAAAUAGACAACAGGUGUAGUUAUUUUAGUUUGUAUUUAUAGAGUAAAUCAGUGCAGCGUAGUCGUAACACUGAGUCACUUAGAGUAGUGUCCAGACUCGCAAUAGCUCAUUUUAUAGGUUGUUGUGUUUGAAAAUGUUCAUGUGAGUAAAUGAAUUGAUAUCCUGUUUCAUGUAACCGUGAAGUUUGACUUGAGCAUGAACAUGAACAAACAAACAAAAAACAAUAUUUAGUCUUUGACAAAGUCUCAUAAAUAAGUGGGUUAUCUUAAAAUCAGGGACCUCUUCUGUGCAGGUCAAUACUGUAACACAUGAUACAUCUCUGCAGUCCCUAGGAGAAAUUUACAUCCAUCUGGUUUAUGUUUAUUGUUUUGUUGUACAGAACAUGACCAUUACGGACCAUCUCCCCCUCAAAUACCUGCUAGUUCUGCUGCUGGAAGAGUUUAUACACAGUCACAGGCUCUGCACAGACACAAAGAACUACUCUCUGGUAAAAUGGACCCACUGUUAAUGAUUCCUGUCCUGUUAGAUGCACACCUGUUAAUGCUUAUUUUUUGUUGAUAAUAUCCUAAUAAAUCUCAGUCCAGUACUCUGUCACACUCUCAUUCUGCAGUAAACACAGCUGUAACCUUCAACUUCUCUUGGUGGAAGCAAACAACCAUCAAGUUUUACUCAUAUUUCAUUUAGCUUUAAUGCUAAAUGAAGUAGGAUUUCUAGAUUUUUAUUUAGCCAACAAACAAAUGUAACGGUUUAAACUGGGACAAGCUUGAGCCAAUACAGUAGGAAAACACUGUUUGCACAUGACCCAGGUUUUUGAUAUGGUCCCUGAUCAAAGGCUAAAAAUAGUCAAUCCAAAACCAAAAUGAAGAUAAAUACUGAUUGUUUUUGUGGUAACUAUAACCUCAUUUCUGUUCCUCUAUGUUUGAAAUCUGUUUGCAUGAAAACCAGCAUUUUUAGGAAUUGUGAAAUGUUUUCAAAACAUAGUUGUUCUUUUGUGUGUAGGAAUAUUGCAGGAUAUCACAUUAAAACUUAAAAAAAGAACUCUGGCAGUUUAAAAAGAAACUUUAAUCGUGUAAACUUGUCAGUGAUGCAAUAAUGAAGAUUCACUGUUCAGCUAUUAGACACAGUGACGUAUUACUAGAGGAUUGUAACAUCAUAACCACCAGAGAUGAACUUUAAAAGAAAAGAAAAAAAAAGUUUACAGAUACAUUUCCCCGACUGAAACAUUUUUACAUUAGCAAGACAAAUGUCAUACAACGUUUUAAACCUAUUAUUCUUAUUUAUAGUGUGCAGUAUUUGGUUUAAUUGAUCAUAUGCAGACAGUGUGCUUAAAAAGGAGGAGAUAAAAGCAUCACAGCUGAGUUUGGUAAAAGAAAAGUCCAUGUUUAGCUGCUUCAAACCUAAACCUGUUUACUGGACCCCCAAAUGAGAGAGCUUUAAGGUGGACUGGACCCUCCUGAGGGAGGCUUUACCUGGACCGGACUAACCUGAGGGAGCUCUUAGGAGGACUGGACAAACUUUGGAGAGCUUCGAGGUAAACUAUACCCUUGUGAAGGAGCCUUUACCUGGACUGAAAAAAAAAUUAAAAAACUGAGGGAGUUCUUAGAAGGACUGGACACUUCUGGAGGAGAUUUAAGGUGGACAAGACUUUCCUGUGGGGGCUUUAAGAUGGACUAGACACACCUGAAGGGAGCUUUAAUGUGGACUGGAUCCAUCUCAGGGAGUUGUGAUACAGAACAGGCCAGCCUGCAGAAGCUGUGAUGUAGAUUGGACCCACCUGAGUGAGCCAAAGGUGAGCUGGUGCCACCUGAGGAAACUUUGACAUAGACUGGACCCACCAGGGGAAGCUUGGCAUUUAACUGGACCAAUCUGAAGGAGCUUUGUCAUGGAUUGGACAAACUCAAUAAAGCUUUGACCAAGACUGGAAUCACCUAUAGAUAACAUAAGGUUGACUGGACUCUCCUGAAGAGGCGUUAAGAUGGUCUGGACACACCUGAUGGAGACUUGAGAAGGACCAUCAACCGAAGGGAGGUUUAAGGAGGAUUGUACCCACCUAUGAGAGAUUUAAGGUCAACUGCACCAACUUUAGGAAGCAUUUAGGUGGUUUGGAUCUUCCUGAAGGAGCUUUGACGAGAGUUUUAUGUGUAUUCUGGGAAACUUUAGAGGAGCUGUGUAAGCAGUCUUGUGGCUUUACAUGCCAGCUCAUCAUGUGACUUCCCUUAGAGGCAGUAUUUUUGGAAGUACACUGUUUAGAUUUAUGCACAGUGGAUGGUUGGACCCAAUUUUUUACUAUUAUUAGAACCUCAAUGACAAGUAUCUGAACCUUUAUUAAAGUAAAGAUUUUGCAGACUUGUAUCAACUCUGAUUCCCACAUUGUUUGUUAAUCCUGUAGUCUUCUACAGAGAUCACAACCGAUCAGUCGAUGAAUCAUGAUUUCUGUUAGGACCAGUUUCAAAGCCAGAAGAAAUCCAGGAACUAUCCAGGAAUUUGUGUCUUUGCAGUGUGUCAGCAAGUGUGCUUUUGGUGUGUGUGUGAAUGUGUAUGUAUGUGUGCGUCUGCACCAACAUAAGUCUGUCCUUUGAGUCUGCAGGAAACCACAGGGGAGAGCUUGCAGCCCACCAGGCUAAAUGAUCCUGACAGUGCUGAGGCCCCAGGGUCAGAGGGGUCUGUCCCAAGACACGCACAGUCUCAAGCAGAGCCCCCCCUACUCACUCCCUCCACCUCCGUCUAAUCGGCAUGCUGCAGGCAUCCUAAGCUCUGUCUAUACCUCCAUCCUUCCUCAUCAGCCUCCAGUCAUCCUGGUAAACUCCUCACCUGACCCUGAUUUACCCCCGCCCUGCUUGUCUCGUGUUCUCCGCAGAAGCAGUGAGGGGGUCAGGUUUCCCUUUUCUUUAUGCUCCAUUUCACCCUCUUCAGGUGGACAGUGAUGAUGAUCAGGAUGAUGUGAUGGGAAGUCUUCUUGGUUGUUGCUCGAUUUCUUAUUUCUUCU